rnacentral:rRNA from 1 species
UACGUAGGGGGGCUAGCGUUGUCCGGAAUCAUUGGGCGUAAAGAGCGUGUAGGCGGUCCGGUAAGUCCGCUGUGAAAGUCGGGGGCUCAACCCUCGAAUGCCGGUGGAUACUGUCGGGCUAGAGUCCGGAAGAGGCGAGUGGAAUUCCCGGUGUAGCGGUGAAAUGCGCAGAUAUCGGGAGGAACACCAAUGGCGAAGGCAGCUCGCUGGGACGGUACUGACGCUGAGACGCGAAAGCGUGGGGAGCAACAGG